rnacentral:lncRNA from 1 species
CGGGCCUGUCGAAGUGCGCCUGACAGGGACAUGCCACCCCCGUUUUAGGAGAACUUGUAUUUGGUUUGAGAAGGAAUUGGAAUCAUGGCGUUAUCCUACCUUCACCAUUUACCCCUGAUAAAUUGUCCACGUUUAUAUUUGGGAAUCAUAUUGACAGGUCAUGAAAAUGAGACCAAAAGAUCUCUGGAAGCGAUUAAUGAUAAAAUUUCAUGGAGAAGAAGGCCUUGACUACGGAGGGGUUGCCAGGGUGAUGACAACUCCGUGAGGGUGGAGAUUAUACAUCUCUCAUCAUUUCAGCAACAAGGAAAUAAAUUAGUGGCAGAGUAAGGGUGACUUGAGAUCUCUUGGAAGCGAGGAUCCUUUAAAAAUCCUGGAAUAUACACUGCAGUAAAAGAACAAAGCAUACCUCAGCCUUAAACGACUGAAGAAGAAUGUCAAGUGGGGAAGUGGCUUUGGUUUUCAGUUUGUGGGUUCUGAAUCCACACAAAGACAGGAUUGCUUUCUGAAAACCUGAAUUAAUUAUUGUCCUUACCUCAAUAAGACAAAAAAUUAGAAUCAAAAUCGUUAGUAUUACAGUCACAGAUAUCGCCAAGAUGAGUUUGUUGUUAUAGCCAUAUCCUGGAACUUCUUUCGUGAGCUAAAAAAAAAAAAAAAAAAAAAGGAAAGAACAAUUAAAAAAAGAGUGAAAGCUAACUUUUCAAAACCCCAGUAUUCCAGUUGAGUAGCUUACAGGUUCUUUUUUGUUUGUUUGUUUUGAGACAGGGUCUCACUCUGUCA